UAAAUUAAAAAAAAUUAAUUAAUUAAUUAAUUAAAUAAAUAAAAUAAAAAGAACAGAACUCCAUCUCUUAAAUAACUCUAUGCCUGGAACAUGUUGUUAAUGACAAAAAGCAAGGAUACUUUUUAAACUGUAUCGGGUAGAGCCGAAAAGGCAAAGGAAUCCAUUUUCAAAUUCUCCCACCCCUUGACAUGCUGUGACAAUUUGAUCAUCGAAAGGAAAAUAAUACAGUUAAUUGGAACAAGGUGAAUUUUUAAAAUCCAUGACUCUGUAAUUAUAUUUAAAAGGGAAAAAGUCACUAUAAAAUGUGCAAAAAGAUAGUUAAUUUAUCAAGUGAAGAAGAACAAAUAUAAUCAUAUAUUUAGCUAAUUCUGAUAAGUAGAAGAGUGUAAAUAUAGUGAGUAUUUUAUCUCUUCAUAAGGUAUACUUAUUUUUCUUUAUCUGUAUAAGUAGGGAAGGGUGGACACAUAGAGCUCUGAGUGAUUCCAGAAAAAGUUGGAACUGUAUCAAGAAUGGAGGAGACUGAUUGGCACCAUCUGGUCAUAUAUUACAACCAGGAAGAAAGGGAGCCCAACAGUGCGUUGCAAGAUGAUGAAUUAGUCAAACGUCCAAAAGAUAACUGCUCACAGCUCAAAUUUGAUCCUUCAUUUCUUGGGAAAGGGAGCCUCUAUACACCAAACUAAUUACAAUGAGAUUGCAGUAACAGCAAACCCAAAAUAAUAAUGGGUUAACCAACAAAGAAGAUUAUUUCUGUCUCACAUAGAAGAAUUCACAGAUAAAGAGUAGGGCUGGAUCACAGUCUUAUGAUGACUGCAGCCAAGUUUCCCUUCUUGCUGUUCUACCAUCUUUAGCUGCCAUAUCAUGGCCCAAGAUGGCUCCUUGCACUCCAGCCAUUACAUUAGCCUUACAGCCCCCCAGGAAGCAGGAAGGAAGAAAGAGCACGCCACCUUCCUUUAUAGAAGCUUUCUGAAAGUUGCCCCCAACAUGCUGAUUACAUCUCAUUGGCUAGAAUUUAGUCACACCUGGCCACACCAGGCCAAGGAGAGAGGCUAGGAAAUCGAGUCUUUAUUCCAGACAGCCAUGCUGAGCUAAACAUCAUGAGUUUUAUAAUGUGGAAAAAGAGGAGACUGGAUAUUGAGGAAAAACAACUAGAUGUUUUUGAACGUGCAAAUGGGCUACAUAAAUUCGUAAAUAAUGGCAGGGAAGUUAUUGUGUUGGUUUUCUAUUGCUAUAUAACAACUUCAGCAGCUUGACACAACACCUAUUUAUUAUCUCACAGUUUUCUGUAGGUCAGAGUCCAGCAGAGCGUGACUGGAUUCUCUACUUGGGGUUUCAUAAGGGUGAAAGCAAGGGCUGCCUUCCCUGCUGAAGGGGAAGAAUCCACUUUCAAGAGCAUUUAGAAUUCAGUUCCUUAUGGCUGUAGGACUGAGAUCCCUGGCACCCACCAUCUUUAGGCCAGCAAUGUCAGGCCAAGUCCUUCUCACACUUUGAAUCUCUCUGACCUAUCCUUCUGAGAGUCAGAAGUCUCUGACUUCAGUGGAGAAAUUUCUCUGAUUUUAAGUGCUCAUGUGAUUCGAUUGGGCCUGCCCAGAUAAUCCAGGCUAAUCUUCCUCUUUUGACCUUAAUUACAUGAGACAUCUGGAUGGCUCAGUCAGUUAAGCAUCCGACUCUUGAUUUCAGUUCAGGUCAAGAUCGCAUGGUCAUGAUCUCAUGGUCCUGGGUUAGAGCCCUGUGCAUCAAGCCCUGUGCCUCAGGCUCUGCGCUGAGCGCAGAUUCUCUCUCUCUCUCUCUUUCUCUGCCCCUUCCCCACUCACUUGCUCACUCUCUCUCUAAAAUUAAAAAAAAUUUUUUUAAUUUAGAAAAAGAUUCUCUCUCUGCCCCUCUCCCUCAUUUGCUCUCUCUCUCUCUCUCUCUCUAAGUAUAAAUAAAUAAAUAACCUUAAUUACAUAUGAAAAUGUCCCUUUUGCUAUGAAACAUAAUUCAGAGGCUCCAGGGAUCAGGGCAUGGACAUUUUUGGAACAUCUGCAGGGAACAUGGACAUUUUUGAAAUAUCCUAGUCAUUAAGUUUUAAGAUGGCAUCAUCUAGGGGCGCCUGGGUGGCUCAGUCAGUUAAAUGUCUGACUUCGGCCCGGGUCAUGAUCUCACAGUUUGUGGGUUCAAGCCCCACAUCAGGCUCUGUGCUGACAGCUCAGAGACUGGAACCUGCAUCAGCUUCUGUGACUCCCUCUCUCUCUGCCCCUCCCCUGCUCAUGCUCUGUCUCUCUCUGUCUCUCAAAAAUAAAUAAAUGUUGAAAAAAAAAAAAAAAAGAUGGCAUCAUCUAAAGGAAAGGCAUCCUGGGGCAUCUGGGUGGUUCGAUUGAUUAAGCAGCCAACUUUUGGUUUCGGCUCAGGUCAUGACUUGGAGAUUUGUGAGUUCAAGCCCAGUGUUGGGCUCUGCACUGACAUCACAGAGCCUGCUUGGGAUUCUCUGUCUCCUGCCUCCCUCCCUCUCUGCCCCUCCUCUGCACUCUCUCUCUCUCUCUCUCUCUCUCUCAAAGAUAAAUAAACAUCUAAAGAAUGUAUUGGGGCGCCUGAGUGGCUCAGUCGGUUAAGCGCACGACUUCAGCUCAGGUCAUAAUCUCGUGGUUUGUGAGUCCGAGCCUAUGUCAGGCUCUGUGCUGACAGCUCAGAGCCUGCAGCCUGCUUCACAUUCUGUGUCUCCCUCUCUCUCUGCUCCUUCCCCACUCGCACUCUGUCUCUCUCUCAAAAUAAGUAAAUGUUAAAAAAAGAUUUUUUUAAUGUAUUAUAAAAUAAAAUAAUUUAAUUUAAUUUAAAAAUAAAAUAAAGGCAUCCAGUUACAACACACAAAUCACAUGGAAAAAGCAUGGGUUUAAGAAAUUCCCAUGGUAUACAAGGUAAACACUGGCUCAGAUUUUAGUCAUUUUAUUGAAUUUAAAAAAAAAUUUUUUUUAAUGUUUAUUUUUGAGAGAAAGAGAGACACAGAGUGAGAGUGGGGGAGGGUCAGAGAGAGAGAGGGAGACACAGAACCCGAAGUAGGCUCCAGGCUCUGAGCUGUCAGCACAGAGCCCCAUGCAGGGCUCAAACUCAUGAACCAUGAGAUCAUGACCUGAGCCAAAGUUGGACGGACGCUCAACCGACUGAGCCACCCAGGCGCCCCAAAUUUUAGUCAUUUCAGAAGAUUUUCCAGUUCCCAGGUCCCAGCCAAUCAUUCAUUGAUUAAUCAUAUAAAACUUCAUCUGCCCUGAGAUAAUGUUCUUUGGGAUUAUCUAAAUUCAGAAAUUGGUCUGAACUGAGAUAGUGUCCAUCUCUUGGGUCUACAAACCCAUUUUUAUAAUAUGUGUAUACACAUAGUAUAGGUGUAAUAAAUUUCAUGGUCCUUGUAAGAUGUGUGUGGUUUACCAAAAUCAUCCUUUUAGAGAAAUUAAUAUAUUACUGGUGAUCCUGUCAAAAUAUGUAGGAGGUUUUAAGUUUACAGGAAAUGUUUAAAUAAUUUGAUUUGUAAAAUAGGUAGGUUUUGAUUUAUUGGGUAUACAAACCGUGUUUAAAUGUUUAAACAAUUUUGCUUAAGUAGGUUUAUGAGGUAAAUAGAAUAAACGGUAAAUAAACACCAAUGGUGGUUAGUGUCCCUCUCCAGGUACAAAAAGCUCCUCAGACUUUAAGAAUCCUAAGACUAGAAUGCAGCUGUCCUGGGGCGCCUGGGUGACUCAGUCGGCUGAGCAAACGACUCCGGCUCAGGUCAUGAUCUCGCAGUCGUGAGUUCGAGCCCCGCAUCAGGCUCUGUGCUGACAGCUCAGAGCCUGGAGCCUGCUUCGGAUUCUGUGUCUCCCUCUCUGUCUGCCCCUCCCCGCUCAUGCUCUCUCUCAGUGUCAAAAAGAAACAUUAAAAAGAAAAAAAGAAAAAAAAAAGAAUGCAGCUGUCCUGCCUCCCUGUGCCCACACCCUGGCAGCCAAUCUCAGCAGAGAAAGUCCCACCACUGAAGGAUGCACUGUGGAUCUAAACCCAUUGGUGUCCAGGGGCACCUGGGCGGCUCAGUCAGUUAAGUAUCCAACUUCAACGCAGGUCAUGAUCUCACAACUCUUGGUUUUGAGCCCCUCGUCGGGUUCUGUGCUGACAGCUCAGAGCUUGGACCCUGCUUUGGGUUCUGCGUCUCCCUCUCUCUCUGCCCCUCCCUCGCUCACACUCUGUCUCUCUCUCUCUCUCAGAAAUAAAUAAACAUUAAAAAAAAUUUUUUUUUAAACCCAUGGUGUCCAGUCACCCGUGUCCCCAAUCCUCUGUGCAAAUCUUUUGUGGUUUCCUCUGCAAGCUUUUUUCUUCAUCCUCCCCAGCAUCCAACUGAAGCUUUCUGUUCUUUCCUUAAAUCUUUUACACCGCCAGGUCUGCCCCUGUCAUCAGCAGCAAACGGGCUCACCCUCAACCUGACUGAAGAAGCAGAAACACCAGGUAGGAACCCUUCCCACCACCACAUCCGGAAACUCACCAUUCUCAUCUCUGCUCCCUCCUGUCUGGUUCAGUAGAAGACGUGUCCCUCUUCUUGUCAAGGCAGCUACCUGCAUCCACCAGUCACGGAUCUCACUUCCUCCAAACAUCCCCUUUCCUUAGUCUCACUUCUCUCUUAAGGUUCAACCUCUCCCUCUCUACUCCUUCCCUUUAGUAGUUAAAUAGACUCAAGACUCUUGACUCUGAAAAAGAAAAUGAUAGGUGUGGAAAUAGUUGUAGAUACAGAGCUUUAUAUGUCCCCGGCUCUAUGUUCAUGUCAUCUCUCCUCCUCUUUAGAGUCAAAUAUUUAUGCUCGCCAGUUUCUCACCUCCUGAGUCAACUGUGGCCUCCACUGCCCCACCUAAACUGCUCUCAGCCUGGUCACUCCCAACUUUGGUGUCACUAAAGUCAACGCACAUUUCCAGUCCUUCUGUUACUCAAGUCCUCCCUAACAUUUGACCCUGUUGGCCACACCUUCCUACCAGAACUCUCUGUGCCAAUUUCCCUGACUGUGCACCUUCUGGGCUUGCCCUCCACUCUCUGCCCAGGCUUCAGUUUCUUUUUCAGGCUCCUCUACCCCUCUGCUCAAGUCUUAAAUGUUUUUCCUCAAGGUUCUGCCCUAGGAUUCCUUCUGGCCUGAUACAUUCUCAAAAGCUUGAAUUUCCAUCCAUGUGCUGACAGCUUCCACACUUGUUAUCUCUAUCCCUGAUGCAUACAUUGGACGCCCCACCUUAUACUCAACUAUGGUCUUUCCUCCCUACAUCUGUUCUCUCUCUGUGUGUCUCUGUUCUCCAUAAAUGAAACCUCCCUGUUUCCCCAACCCAAUACUAGCCGUUGUCCUCAGUUCUUCCCUCUCCCUUGUACCCCAUAGCCAAUCACAACCAGGAGCCCUGUCUAUUGUGUUCCACCCCCCUGACUCAAACUACCAGUCUCCUAGAUAGAGUUCUCCAGAAGCUUUCUAACUGACCCCUUGGCCUCCAGUUUUGCCUCCCUCAGUCCAUUCUCCACACUGGGGCUGCCAUACUGAUCUAUGUAAGUGAACUUCCUUGCAUAGCCCUUUAGGGGAUCGGUGAGUCUCAGAAUGAGACAUUACCUAGUGUGGUUUUGAGAUCCUUGGCAAUCCAGCCGCUACAAGCUCCUGCUUCAUGUUGACCAUCUAUAAGAAUGUGGAAGCUUACAAAGUAGCACCAGGUACUAGAUGAGGGAAAGUGACACAAUCCUGUGUUGGGGGACCCGGAGCUGGUGUAUUAAGUCAAGAAUAUGCAGUUUAUGGGGCAUCUGGGUGGCUCAGUCGGUUAAGCAUCCGAUUGAGGUUCAGGUCAUGACCUCACACUUCAUGAGUUCAAGCCCCAUGUUGGGCUUUGUGCUGACAGCUCAGAGCCUGGAGCUUGCUUUGGAUUCUGUGUCUCCCUCUUUCUCUGCCCCUUUCCUGCUCAUACUCUAUCCUUCUGUCUCUCAAAAAUAAAUAAACAUUAAAAAAAAAAAAAAAGAAUAUGCGGCUCAUGACCUGCUGAGGAGGUCAUAAUGAGGAGGCACAAGCCACUCACACAGGGCACUGUAGGCAGGUAGCCCGCUCUCCACCGAGCUCUCACCUCAGGAAAGUGAAAACCCCAGGGCCGUUUUCAUUAAAGGUGCAGUUUCGGUACAUGCACACAAAGGAAGUAGCGACACAAGAUUUAUUACAGAUCCCAGAAACGGGGGUGGGGGUGCACACAAUGAACCAAGGGAAGGGCAGGCAUUUGUCCCCGGUCACGAGUGAAUGAACAGGACGUAGAGAGCAGGGUAAUGAGCACCUACUAUUCAUAAGGUGGUUGGCACAGAGGUCACUAAAAUUUUGUGUGCUCAGCUCUCAAGUGGUUAUUUUAAAAGGUGCCCCCAGGAAAAGCAAAGUGGGAAUUUGGGGUGAGUAUCCUAAGCUCUGGUCCUUGAAAACCAUCCAGCCUCUGGGCAUGAGCGGGGGUUGUCAUACUGUGAAAUACCCAGGCAGCAACUCAAAAUCAUUGUUUUCUCAUCACACCUCAGAGAAAAGAAGGCCUGGCUUUCAAGUCAAAAUUUAUCAAGGCCAAGGGAAUCGUUCUUGGACCCACCUAAGGUAAAUCGGGACGGGUUUUAGUUUGUACAGCAGUCUGAUCCAGACCAACCUGAAACGGAGAAAUCUUAACCGACACAGUGUAACACGUUAAGGAAAGACCGGCCAUAGAUUGAAGGGGGGCAAGGCAGAGUAAUCCUAGCAACGAAGUGAAUAUGCUCACAGGAGAAGCAGUGAGCAUAGUGGUUAAGACGGUGGCACAGGAGCCUCUCACUUAGUGGCUGCACAUGACCUUCCAUGACUGAACCUCUCUGUCCCCCAUCUUCUUCCUCUAUAAAAUGGAGAAAACAAUUGUAUCUACCCCACAGGGUUGGAAAACACUUAGAACAGUGCCUGGCACAAAGCAAGUACUCAAUAUGUGUAAGUUACUGUUACUGUUUGGACUAGUAAAUAAAUUAAAAAGGGUGCAUGUC